CACAGUCCCCCAGUUCUUGCUAAGCAGCAGCAUCCAUGAGUGGAGUGGUUGAUUUGCCUGAGCCAGUGGGGAGGCCCCUGGGCCAGGGAGAACCCACAGGGUGUGGAGGAGUGGCAUGAGGGCCCCACCUCUCAGGUGACUGGAGAGCAGCCUCAGAGCCCCAGCUGUCAUCCUGUGGUCACAGCAUUAGCUGGGAGAGCUCCUUUUCAUGGGGACCUGCAUGAACCCCAGACUCUUCUGUGUGACGCUUUGUCUCCUGGGAACAGGCCUCGUGGACGCUGUGAUCACCCAGAGGCCCCGACACCUUAUCCUACACACGGGAAAAAAGACAACCCUGGAGUGUUCUCAGAACCUGAACCAUUAUGCAAUGUUCUGGUACCGACAAGACCCAGGGCAGGGGCUGAGGCUGCUGCACUACUCAGGCAGUGUUGGCAGCACAGCUGAAGGAGAAGCCUCCCAAGGGUCCAGUGCCUCCAGGGAUCAGAAGGAGCAUUUCCCCCUGACCCUGGAGUCCCCCAGCACCAGCCAGUCCUCCCUGUACCUCUGUGCCAGCAGCGAAGCCACAGCAGGGCACAGCCAGCUGCUCUCUGCACAAGAAGCGCAGCCACAGGGUUCAGGUGGACUCUCCUUCCAGAGCCCCUGCCUCAGCCAGCAGAAAACAUUAUCCUGAAGCCCCUCCAAGACUGCCAGCCUCAGCCCCAUGGACCUCGUGCAGCAUGGAUAUGAGAGCUAGGUUCACUAGUGUGGGUAGGGGAGGUGAAUACGCAUACCAUUUUAUGUCAUUUUGCUCAAUUAGAAAUGUACUAGCAAUUGAGUUAAGGAGAGAGACCUGAGCUUCCAACAUACAAUUUCUAUUCCAUUUUCUUUUCUAGGGAGAAAAACAAUAAAAAAAAAAAAAAAAAAACCUAAGCAGAUUUAACUUCUGGGAUGAUCUGUGAUUCCACAAGUUUAAAUAUAUUAUAAAAUGUCACCUUUUCUUUAAUUCCAUUGGAUUCCAUGCAAGUGUUAUCUGAAAAUAAUUGAAAAAAUCUCAAUAACACAUUUAAAAAUGCAUAUAGGAUUAAACCACUUAUAGGAGAUUUUAGCAGAUGUCCCAACAGGGUUAUCAAAAGGAGAUACCUACCUCAGUCUUUCCCAAAGACCUCUGGAGACUGAGUAGUGCUUGUCCUCUUCUGACGGUCGAUGAAGAUAGUAACCUAAUUCUUCAAUUACUUUGGCGUGAGUUAAAUAAUGAGCCCCUCCAUGCAUUUCUUGUGAAAUGAUUGAUACAUAAUAAUAUUGGCAGCUGUUCUCUUUUCCUCCAGCCCUUCUCUCUUCUUAGCACCUACAGGGAGAAGCCCACACUCAGGAAGAAGGUUUCUUAAUUGAGAUCCGUUAUCUGCAAGACCAUGAGGCCCAUGGCUGGGCUUCACAGGACAUGCAAACCACAGGUGGCAUGUGCCCUUUGCUUCUCUGCGAGGCUGCCUUAGCACUGGCUCCUGCGUGUGAAGAGGGGAGCAAAUGGCUAUUGGUAAAAUGUCAAUUCACCAAUUGACCCACCUGGUAAAAGCCCAAAUGAAAGGCUGAAUGGUUAAGACUGAUGAGUGAUCAAUUCUCCAAAUGAAGACAUUUAUAGGAGUUCAUAAAUGAGUUCAGCAGCCUUUGGGUAUUUUUUUUUUAAGUUUGUGUUUGUCUUCAGUUUUUAUUCUGGAAUCAUCCUCAGAUUAUUUUUUUUUUUUUUUACAAACUUGUUAACUGGCCUUAUUUUGAUGCUGAAUUUGGAUGCUUUAUAUUUCAGCCACUGAACACUUCUCAUAAUAUUUUAUGCAAUAAUGUGUUAUCUUUGGUAAUUUUGUAGGAUAAGUUUUAAAUUGGACAGAAUAAAAUAGGAGCAUACAUCUAUACACAUCUCCCAUCAUUUAGCAUUUAAUUUAUUUUCUUUGAUGUAAUUUUUAUUAAGGUAUAAUCAGGAAUAAAGUGUUCAAACCAAUAUGUGGACUGCUUGAUGAAUUUUGGUAAAAGCAAACCUCAGUGCAAUACCAAUUGAAAUCACAAUAAAGAAUAUGUCUAUCACCCAA